rnacentral:rRNA from 1 species
GGAGUUAGCCGGUGCUUCUUCUGUGAGUGAUGUCCUUCCUGCCGGUUAUUGACCCGCAGGCCUUCUUCCUCACUGAAAGUGCUUUACAACCCGAAGGCCUUCUUCACACACGCGGCAUGGCUGGAUCAGGGUUGCCCCCAUUGUCCAAUAUUCCCCACUGCUGCCUCCCGUAGGAGUCUGGGCCGUGUCUCAGUCCCAGUGUGGCUGAUCAUCCUCUCAGACCAGCUACGGAUCGUCGCCUUGGUGAGCCGUUACCUCACCAACCAGCUAAUCCGACAUAGGCUCAUCCGAUAGCGCGAGGCCCGAAGGUCCCCCGCUUUCCCCCGUAGGGCGUAUGCGGUAUUAGCCUGGGUUUCCCCAGGUUAUCCCCCACUACCGGGCAGAUUCCUAUGCAUUACUCACCCGUCCGCCGCUCGCCACCAGGGAGCAAGCUCCCCGUGCUGCCGCUCGACUUGCAUGUGUUAGGCCUGCCGCCAGAGUUCAAUCUGAGCCAGAAUCAAACUCUGA